rnacentral:rRNA from 1 species
ACUCCUACGGGAGGCAGCAGUGGGGAAUAUUGCACAAUGGGGGAAACCCUGAUGCAGCCAUGCCGCGUGUGUGAAGAAGGCCUUCGGGUUGUAAAGCACUUUCAGUAGGGAGGAAGGUAGUGUAGUUAACACCUGCAUUAUUUGACGUUACCUACAGAAGAAGCACCGGCUAACUCCGUGCCAGCAGCCGCGGUAAUACGGAGGGUGCGAGCGUUAAUCGGAAUUACUGGGCGUAAAGCGCAUGCAGGCGGCCUGUUAAGUCAGAUGUGAAAGCCCGGGGCUUAACCUCGGAAUUGCAUUUGAAACUGGCAGGCUAGAGUCUUGUAGAGGGGGGUAGAAUUUCAGGUGUAGCGGUGAAAUGCG